rnacentral:rRNA from 1 species
UACAGAGGUCCCAAGCGUUGUUCGGAUUCACUGGGCGUAAAGGGUGCGUAGGUGGCCGGGUAAGUCUGACGUGAAAUCUCCAAGCUCAACUUGGAAACUGCAUCGGAUACUAUCCGGCUCGAGGAUCGGAGGGGAGACUGGAAUACUUGGUGUAGCAGUGAAAUGCGUAGAUAUCAAGUGGAACACCAGUGGCGAAGGCGAGUCUCUGGACGAUUCCUGACACUGAGGCACGAAAGCCAGGGGAGCAAACGGG